rnacentral:misc_RNA from 1 species
GAUGAAGAACGCAGCGAAAUGCGAUACUUGGUGUGAAUUGCAGAAUCCCGUGAACCAUCGAGUCUUUGAACGCAAGUUGCGCCCGAAGCCUCGGCUAAGGGCACGUCUGCCUGGGCGUCACGCAUCGCGUCUCCCCCAAACCGCCAAGGCGGAGGGGAAGGAAGAUGGCUUCCCGUGCCUCACCCGGCGCGGUUGGCCUAAAUUUGGAGCCCGCGGCACAUAGCUCUCGCGGCGAUAGGUGGUGAACAAGGCCUUGGCCGUGCAAACAACCCGCUGCGAAGCUCUAUGUCACGUGCGCUCGUCGGACCCUUUGAAGUUGCCUUCGGUGACUUAAAACCUUUGCGACCCCAGGUCAGGCGGGGCUACCCGCUGAAUUUAAGCAUAUCAAUAAGCGGAGGA